UACGUAGGGGGCGAGCGUUGUCCGGAAUGAUUGGGCGUAAAGGGCGCGUAGGCGGCCUUGUAAGUCUGGAGUGAAAGUCCUGGUUUUAAGCUGGGAAUUGCUUUGGAUACUGUGAGGCUUGAGUGCAGGAGAGGUAAGUGGAAUUCCCAGUGUAGCGGUGAAAUGCGUAAGGAUUGGGUGGAACACCAGUGGCGAAGGCGACUUACUGGACUGUAACUGACGCUGAGGCGCGAAAGUGUGGGGAGCAAAC
rnacentral:rRNA from 1 species